rnacentral:rRNA from 1 species
AAACGACGCUGGCGGCAGGCCUAACACAUGCAAGUCGAACGCCGUAGCAAUACGGAGUGGCAGACGGGUGAGUAACGCGUGGGAAUAUCCCCCUCAGUACGGAAUAGCCCAGGGAAACUUGGAGUAAUACCGUAUACGUCCGUGAGGAGAAAGAUUUAUCGCUGAGGGAUUAGCCCGCGUAGGAUUAGCUAGUUGGUGAGGUAAUGGCUCACCAAGGCGACGAUCCUUAGCUGGUCUGAGAGGACGAUCAGCCACACUGGGACUGAGACACGGCCCAGACUCCUACGGGAGGCAGCAGUGGGGAAUAUUGGACAAUGGGCGCAAGCCUGAUCCAGCCAUGCCGCGUGAGUGACGAAGGCCUUAGGGUUGUAAAGCUCUUUUGGCGGGGACGAUAAUGACGGUACCCGCAGAAUAAGCCCCGGCUAACUUCGUGCCAGCAGCCGCGGUAAUACGAAGGGGGCUAGCGUUGUUCGGAAUCACUGGGCGUAAAGCGCACGUAGGCGGACUUUCAAGUCAGGGGUGAAAUCCCGGGGCUCAACCUCGGAACUGCCUUUGAUACUGUUGGUCUCGAGUCCGAGAGAGGUGGGUGGAAUUCCUAGUGUAGAGGUGAAAUUCGUAGAUAUUAGGAAGAACACCGGUGGCGAAGGCGGGCCCACUGGCUCGGGUACUGACGC